CCUACGGGGGGCUGCAGUGGGGAAUAUUGGACAAUGGGCGCAAGCCUGAUCCAGCCAUGCCGCGUGAGUGAUGAAGGCCCUAGGGUUGUAAAGCUCUUUCGCCAGGGACGAUAAUGACGGUACCUGGAUAAGAAGCCCCGGCUAACUUCGUGCCAGCAGCCGCGGUAAUACGAAGGGGGCUAGCGUUGUUCGGAAUCACUGGGCGUAAAGCGCACGUAGGCGGACUGUUAAGUCAGGGGUGAAAUCCUGGGGCUCAACCCCAGAACUGCCCUUGA
rnacentral:rRNA from 1 species